UUCUUUCCUUCUUUCUUUCUUGUCCCACUCCAUUGCCCAGGCUGGAGUGCAGUGAUGCAAUCUCAGUUCACUGCAACCUCCACCUCCCAGGUUCAAGUGAUUCUACUGCCUCAGCCUCCCAAGUAGCUGGGAUUACAGGCAUGCAUGCCCGACUAAUUUUUUCUAUUUAACAGAGACAGGGUUUCACCAUGUUGGUCAGGCUGGUCUUGAACUCCUGACCUCAGGUGAUCCGCCCACCUCAGCCUCCCAAAAUGCAGGGAUUGUAGGCGUGAGCCACUGCACCUGGCCUUGAGUUCUCUACUUCUUAUUAGCCAAUCGCUUCUUACUACAAUCCCCUGCUACAGUUAAUACUUCUUUUUGUUAACAUUUUCCUGUUAAAAUUACUGUAUAACUUUGAUCUCCUGAUUGGACCAAGACUCAUGUGGUGUCCCCCCAAAACCCUCCAGAUUCAUAGUGAUUUCCCCAGAGGCCAUGGCUGAGCUACAGACUGCACUCCUUUUCCUUUCCUUCAAUCCAACCACUUGAUUUUAGUGGGGGCCAUCCACUGUGGUUCCCAACCUCCUCGUGAUUAGUUCAUAGAGAAAGUAUCAGCCCAAAGCUGUCCAGUCUUUCCUGUGUGUUUUUUUUUUUUUUUUUUUUUUUUGAAACGAGCUGGUGUGAUGGAAACAUUCUACAUUAAGGUUGCAAAAAAAAAAGAAGGUUGCAGUAGUGGUUAUGCAUGGAUGUAUAAAUUUGUCAAUGCUGACUGAAAUGUAUACUUAUAAUGGGUGCAUUUUAAGCGCUCUAUAUCUCAAUAUAGUUACUUUAAAAACAGAACAAAACCUUGUGCUCUGGGGUUGAAACUAAGGAUACAAACUGCCUGGGGCAGCCAGCCUUGUGGGGAAGGCCAGACUGAGAGAAGGAAGCUGAGAUACACAGAGGUAAAGAUGAGGGCAAGUUUGUGGGCUCUGGUCUCUGGUUCCUUUUGUAUUCCAAGAGUGGAUUUACCCCUUUCUUUUCUGCUAUUUGUUCUUCUGUUCUAAUACAUUCUCUUUUUGCAUAAACUAGCUCAAUUCAAGUUUCCGUUGCUUGUAACAGAAACUAAAAAUAUCUAAUACAGAAAGAAAAGGUCAUUGCAGGCUGAGCUAAUUAAGGUGAGCAGACUUUAUUUCGGAGCUGGAUUUUAUAGGGUGCACAGAGCAAAGGCAGAAAGGCCCCGUAGGUAACAAUGUUAAGAAAGCACAGUGGAGAAUAAGGAUAAAUUUGGCAUUUGUGGGGUUAGGCAGAUUAUAGCAGUUCAGAGGAGGGACUUUGAAAUCAGAUGGAUUUGGGUUUAACUCUUAGCUUUGCUUUUUUGCAAACCAGCAUCCUGGUAAUUAGAGACAACCCAAGGUCUCUGAGUGUCCUAUCUCUCCUGGCUUCAUUUCAUCCCCAAAUUGGAUUUGCAUGAUCCUACAUUAUAAGCCACUGACAGAUGUGUUGAAUAGGACAGAACCAAGUAUGGAGCCCUGAAGCAUGUCAUGAAGACUUCCUUUUGCAUUGACUUCGUUUUACUAAUUGGUCCUCUUUCAGUAAAAGGUUUCAAC
rnacentral:lncRNA from 1 species